rnacentral:rRNA from 1 species
GACGAACGCUGGCGGCGUGCCUAAUACAUGCAAGUCGAACGCAGUGGGGACGGGUGAGUAACACCUGGGUAACCUCCCAUCAGAGGGGAUAACACUUGGAAACAGGUGCUAAACCGAUACUGAUGGAUGGAGCCGCGGUGCAUUAGCUAGUUGGUGAGGUAACGGCUCACCAAGGCCACAUUGCAUAGCCGACCGGAGAGGGGGAUCGUCAACACUGGGACUGAGACAGUGCCCGGAUCACUACGGGAGGCAGCAGGAGGGAAUCUUCGGCAAUGGACGAAAGUCUGCCCGAGAACGCCCGUGUGAGUAAAGCAGGUUUUCGGAUCUUAAAACUCUGUUGUUAGAGAAGCGGUAUCUAACCAGAAAGCCACGGCUAACUACGUGCCAGCCGCCGCGGUAAUUC